rnacentral:rRNA from 1 species
AUUCUGGCUCAGGAUGAACGCUGGCGGCGUGCUUAACACAUGCAAGUCGAACGGGAUCCAUCAAGCUUGCUUGGUGGUGAGAGUGGCGAACGGGUGAGUAAUGCGUGACCGACCUGCCCCAUGCUCCGGAAUAGCUCCUGGAAACGGGUGGUAAUGCCGGAUGUUCCACAUGAUCGCAUGUGAUUGUGGGAAAGAUUCUAUCGGCGUGGGAUGGGGUCGCGUCCUAUCAGCUUGUUGGUGAGGUAACGGCUCACCAAGGCUUCGACGGGUAGCCGGCCUGAGAGGGCGACCGGCCACAUUGGGACUGAGAUACGGCCCAGACUCCUACGGGAGGCAGCAGUGGGGAAUAUUGCACAAUGGGCGCAAGCCUGAUGCAGCGACGCCGCGUGAGGGAUGGAGGCCUUCGGGUUGUAAACCUCUUUUGUUUGGGAGCAAGCCUUCGGGUGAGUGUACCUUUCGAAUAAGCGCCGGCUAACUACGUGCCAGCAGCCGCGGUAAUACGUAGGGCGCAAGCGUUAUCCGGAUUUAUUGGGCGUAAAGGGCUCGUAGGCGGCUCGUCGCGUCCGGUGUGAAAGUCCAUCGCUUAACGGUGGAUCUGCGCCGGGUACGGGCGGGCUGGAGUGCGGUAGGGGAGACUGGAAUUCCCGGUGUAACGGUGGAAUGUGUAGAUAUCGGGAAGAACACCGAUGGCGAAGGCAGGUCUCUGGGCCGUCACUGACGCUGAGGAGCGAAAGCGUGGGGAGCGAACAGGAUUAGAUACCCUGGUAGUCCACGCCGUAAACGGUGGACGCUGGAUGUGGGGCACGUUCCACGUGUUCCGUGUCGGAGCUAACGCGUUAAGCGUCCCGCCUGGGGAGUACGGCCGCAAGGCUAAAACUCAAAGAAAUUGACGGGGGCCCGCACAAGCGGCGGAGCAUGCGGAUUAAUUCGAUGCAACGCGAAGAACCUUACCUGGGCUUGACAUGUUCCCGACGACGCCAGAGAUGGCGUUUCCCUUCGGGGCGGGUUCACAGGUGGUGCAUGGUCGUCGUCAGCUCGUGUCGUGAGAUGUUGGGUUAAGUCCCGCAACGAGCGCAACCCU